UGAGCAACCUGCCCCUGGCUCUGGGAUAACUCCGGGAAACCGGAGCUAAUACCGGAUACGAGACCGAUUGGCAUCUUUACGGUCUGGAAAGUUUUUCGGCCAGGGAUGGGCUCGCGGCCUAUCAGCUUGUUGGUGGGGUAACGGCCCACCAAGGCGACGACGGGUAGCCGGCCUGAUAGGGCGACCGGCCACACUGGGACUGAGAUACGGUCCAGACUCCUACGGGAGGCA
rnacentral:rRNA from 1 species